UACGUAGGGUGCAGGCGUUAAUCGGAAUUACUGGGCGUAAAGCGUGCGCAGGCGGUUUGCUAAGACAGACGUGAAAUCCCCCGGCUUAACCUGGGAACUGCGUCUGAUACUGGAAGGCUUGAGGAUGGGAGAGGGAUGUAGAAUUCCAGGUGUAGCGGUGAAAUGCGUAGAUAUCUGGAGGAAUACCGGUGGCGAAGGCGGCAUCCUGGACCAUUACUGACGCUGAGGCGCGAAAGCUAGGGGAGCAAACGGG
rnacentral:rRNA from 1 species